AUUGAACGCUGGCGGCAUGCUUUACACAUGCAAGUCGAACGGCAGCGCGGACUUCGGCCUGGCGGCGAGUGGCGAACGGGUGAGUAAUACAUCGGAACGUGCCCAGUAGUGGGGGAUAGCUCGGCGAAAGCCGGAUUAAUACCGCAUACGACCUGAGGGUGAAAGCGGGGGAUCUUCGGACCUCGCGCUAUUGGAGCGGCCGAUGGCAGAUUAGCUAGUUGGUGGGGUAAAGGCCUACCAAGGCGACGAUCUGUAGCUGGUCUGAGAGGACGACCAGCCACACUGGGACUGAGACACGGCCCAGACUCCUACGGGAGGCAGCAGUGGGGAAUUUUGGACAAUGGGCGAAAGCCUGAUCCAGCAAUGCCGCGUGUGUGAUGAAGGCCUUCGGGUUGUAAAGCACUUUUGGCGGGAACGAAAAGGACUGUGCCAAUACCACGGUUCGAUGACGGUACCCGCAGAAUAAGCACCGGCUAACUACGUG
rnacentral:rRNA from 1 species